CUUCUUAUUUUCUUUUCUUUCUUUUCUUUUCUCUCAUACACUCCUCUCUAUCACUUGCUCAUCCUCUCCUACCGGUACCUCCAUACCACCAUCUUCACCAUCAUUUUUCCGGCAAUGUCACCGGAAAAUCCUUAGGAACCUCUAAGCAUCUUCAUCUUUUAUUUGAGGUUUGCUUGAUAUUGUUGAGGUUCUAGCUAAUCUCUUUUGGAGUUGGAGAAUUAGGCUUUUUGUGGGUUGCAAGGUAAGUAGCUUUU